rnacentral:rRNA from 1 species
UGGGGAAUAUUGCGCAAUGGGGGAAACCCUGACGCAGCAACGCCGCGUGCGGGAUGAAGGCCUUCGGGUUGUAAACCGCUUUCAGCAGGGAAGACAUCGACGGUACCUGCAGAAGAAGCCCCGGCUAACUACGUGCCAGCAGCCGCGGUAAUACGUAGGUGGCUAGCGUUAUCCGGAUUUACUGGGCGUAAAGGGUGCGUAGGUGGUCUUUCAAGUCGGUGGUUAAAGGCUACGGCUCAACCGUAGUUAGCCUCCGAAACUGGAAGACUUGAGUGCAGGAGAGGAAAGUGGAAUUCCCAGUGUAGCGGUGAAAUGCGUAGAUAUUGGGAGGAACACCAGUAGCGAAGGCGGCUUUCUGGACUGCAACUGACACUGAGGCACGAAAGCGUGGGUAGCAAACAGG